GGGAGAUGCGGAGUUGGGUAAAAUGAGAGGGUCUGUCAGCCCCUCCCCCCUGCUGGCAUAGCCUAGUCUUACUUCCGGGACACUACAGAGCCAAGAGCCUGGGUGACUCCUGCCUGCCCACACAAUUCCUCUCGCAGGUGGCUCUCUGUUGCCGGCUUCCAUAGGCUAGCCCCCACUCCACCCCAGACUCUAGACCGGACCGCUCCAGAUUUAGCAGUUGAGGCCCUUUAAAAGCCUCACAGCUGCCUCGCUGCGGGCAGCCUUCCUGGGAAAUGUAGUCUCCUGAGUGAAGCUUCGCAGCUUCCCCGGGCUGUUUUGCUACUGGCCAAAAAGGGGCUUUGCUACCACCUUGGAUUACUGUGACAGAGAAACGAAACCUUGUGUGAAAAACGUAUCCAUCGCAUCAGAGUGGGAACCAGGAUCUUAUCCGGCUUACAAUGCUCUUGACUGUAACAUCUGCAAGGGACACACGGGAGCCCUGAAAGGCCUGGUGUCUCUACAGGGAGGAUGACUCUUCAGCCACUGUCCUUUGCUUCUGUCUCCCGGUUUACUUGCGAAUGUUUAUUGUGAUGAGUCUUGUUGAGGCCUCUAGUUUCUGCUACACCAUCAAUAUUGAACUCUUGUGGAGACUCCUCUCAGAUAUUUGGUUGUAGCCCAGAGUCAUGGAGACCCUGCAGGUAUGGUUCCGCGGGACUGACCACUUCGCAUUCUCCAGCGGCUCUCAAAUGUUAGGGCGAGCCAACUCCAAGGAUCUGGGCCUGGGUGGGUGGUAGCUGAGUUGGUGUAGUGGCAGCCGAGUGGAGUUGUGGGGCAGCUCAGCACGGCCCACGGACAUCCGUGUAGCCUUCCAUGGUAACGUGAGCCACAGACAUCACCACCGCCUCUGUCUGGAUCUGGACCACUGACCCACUCACAGCCCUCAGCAGGACUUUAAGCCUCAUCGUGGUUUCAGAUGGCUACACAAGCAUCAGCGUGGCCCCCCUGAGGCAGCAAAGCCUGAGGACAUCACCACAUCUUCAGUCAGAGGCACAGAGCUUACAUCCCCGUGGACCUCAGACUUCAUCCUGGCCUGGGGCAGCAGCAUGGACCACAGACACCAGCAUGGCCUCUGGUGACAUCAUGGACCAUGGUGGUCCUUCCAGGAGGUCCAAUCCAGACAUUGAACUUUUCCUCAUCUCAGGCCUCCAUCAUUGAACAGAGCCAGGAUGAUCCUGUGACCUGACUGGGUGGCAGGUUCGGGACCUGAGUCUGCAGCUGCACAAGCUCCAGGAUGCUGCACAGCACCCUGCACACCUUACUGCGCUAUGACGGCAGGUCUCAGAAGGCAAGAGUAAAGUCGCAGAGUCUCUGUGGAAGGGAGGAGGACUGGGCUGCUCCAGAGAAGCACAGAGCGGGAGGGGCCUGUCUCUGGUAAUAGAAACUGUCAUUUCAAGGAGGGCCCUUGGGCAAGAACCUCCAGGGAUCACGGGAGGGGGGAAUGGGUGGAAACAACCCUGGGGACCCUAGCAAGUCCAAUAGCCCUCUGUGGCCUUUUAGUCCCAGCCCUGCUGGCCACCUGCUC
rnacentral:lncRNA from 1 species